rnacentral:ncRNA from 1 species
GGUAGUCAGUAAAGUAUAAUCUAGUCGUCGCUAUAGUAAUCAUGUUCAUUACAAGAGGAAGUACACGUUGAAUCAGUUGAUAUAUGUGUCUGUUUGAAACCAUCUGAGGGAUUAAGACUGAAUGCCUCUAGGUAUGAGGCCCAUCCUUAUUUACAACGAUAUAUUCCAUAUCCGACACAUGGCUGGGUCAGCCUACUUAUUCCUUUCGAUGUCUGGACUAGGUCGCGUGUUCGCCCAAUUCCAUUAGGUUUGAUGUUACACAAGGGUGAUUAUCAUAAAUUAUGCUCCGUAUCUCAUGGUGUAGGGGCUGACAAGACGCCUAAUUGUGAUACGAGUGUAGGGAUUUAAAUCGUUUGUUGAUAACUUAUUGUUUUGUCAGGGAGAAGUAAGUGCUCAAGCAGCUAUCACACUGCAAGUCAUUGCGUCCUUUCCUUACUUGAUGGAAACUGU